GACGAACGCUGGCGGCGUGCUUAACACAUGCAAGUCGAACGGAAAGGCCCUGCUUUUGUGGGGUGCUCGAGUGGCGAACGGGUGAGUAACACGUGAGUAACCUGCCCUUGACUUUGGGAUAACUUCAGGAAACUGGGGCUAAUACCGGAUAGGAGCUCCUGCUGCAUGGUGGGGGUUGGAAAGUUUCGGCGGUUGGGGAUGGACUCGCGGCUUAUCAGCUUGUUGGUGGGGUAGUGGCUUACCAAGGCUUUGACGGGUAGCCGGCCUGAGAGGGUGACCGGCCACAUUGGGACUGAGAUACGGCCCAGACUCCUACGGGAGGCAGCAGUGGGGAAUAUUGAACAGUGGGCGGAAGCCUGAUGCAGCAACGCCGCGUGCGGGAUAACGGCCUUCGGGUUGUAAGCCGCUUUCGCCUGUGACGAAGCGUGAGUGACGGUAAUGGGUAAGGAAGCACCGGCUAACUACGUG
rnacentral:rRNA from 1 species